UCCGUUAUCAUCCAACAGUUAGGAUAUAUGGCUUUCAUCCAGGAGACUUGGGUUCAAUUCCCAAUAACGGAA
rnacentral:tRNA from 1 species